UACGUAGGGGGCAAGCGUUAUCCGGAUUUACUGGGUGUAAAGGGAGCGUAGGUGGCAUAUCAAGUCAGAUGUGAAAGCCCGGGGCUCAACCCCGGGAUUGCAUUUGAAGCUGGUUUGCUAGAGUGCAGGAGAGGUAAGUGGAAUUCCUAGUGUAGCGGUGAAAUGCGUAGAUAUUAGGAGGAACACCAGUGGCGAAGGCGGCUUACUGGACUGUAACUGACACUGAGGCUCGAAAGCGUGGGGAGCAAACAGGAUUAGAUACCCUGGUAGUCCACGCCAUAAACGAUGAAUACUAGGUGUGGGGGGACUGACCCCCUCCGUGCCGGAGUUAACACAAUAAGUAUUCCACCUGGGGAGUACGAUCGCAAGGUUGAA
rnacentral:rRNA from 1 species